ensembl:lncRNA
AUGUUCCUCAUGGAUCCGGUUGGCAUCCGUUGGCCGCCUCAUCCGUGUUUCCAGCCACAAAGGCCACUUCACAAGGCAGGCUUUGUGCUUUGUUCCCUGCUGAGCGCCCAGAGGAUUGGUUGCCCAGUUUCUCUUGGGAAGGGAUAUAAAGGGAGGAGGUGGACACAGCUGGAGCUUCACUGGUCCUCCCUCGCCAUGAAGCCCUCAACCGUCUUCAUCGUCCUCCUCCUCGCUGUCCUGGCCUUCUCUGGUGAGGCAGCCCCUGACCGCAAGAGAGAGAAGCCCGGGAAUUGCCCAUUUCCAGAUGAAAACAUGAAGUUGUCCCAUUUCCUAUUUUGCAAAAAUGAUUUCCAGUGCCCUGGGAACGAGAAGUGUUGCUACGCGGCAUGCCUUCCUCCUGCUUAAGGAGAGACCUUGGAGGAGGCCUGGAUCCAUGGACAGCGACCACCAGAGAAGUCCGUCUGGAGCUCCUCUGCCCAUCUCUGCUGCUCCACCCAAACCCACAUCCAUCCCGCCCUGCUCCAUCCCCACUUGCCCCGUGGAUGACGGUCCCAAUUCUGCUUUACUAAUCCUCUUCCAUUCACAAUAAAUGCACCAGCCUCCUCAACGUUAAGACUCUGGACUCCUUUUUGGCUUAUGGAGGGGAGGUGGCCUACUUUUGACUGAGGUUCAUUUGAACAAACCUGCUCUCGUUAUUGCCCUGAAAUCCCAGCUUCCUCCUUGGAUAUCCCUCUCCUUCUCCCCGUGCCCCCCAGAUGCCCACAUCUCAUUCCUAGAGGGGCUUCCCCUUGAUCUUAUGGGUCUAGAAGCCGUUUGGGGUUUCAGUUCUGGUUCUGGAGACCCAUCAGUGCUUGGCCUGCUUCUCCUCCUCUUUCCAUGGCUCCAAUUCCAGGCAAGUCUCUCCCUUGGAUUUGGCAGAAGACCCUUCUGGGGAAGCCUGGGCGCAGCUCCUCUUCUCAGAGGGCCUCUCCCCAGUCCUUGCAAGGCUGUCCUACUUCCUUGUGCCCCUUGUUGGGCGAGACAUUGUGGCUCCUGUUGACAUCCACUGGCUAUCUUGCAUCAAUAGGGGAAUAGCAUCUAGAUCCAGGGAAGUCCUGCUCCCCCUUAUUCUAUUCUGCCUUGGUCAGACCACACCUGGAAUCACACUGUGUCCAGUUCUGGGCACCACAGUUGAAGGGAGAUGUUGACAAGCUGGAAAGCGUCCAGAGGAGGGCGACUAAAAUGAUUAAGGGUCUGGAGAACAAGCCCUAUGAGGAGCGGCUUAAAGAGCUGGGCAUGUUUAGCCUGCAGAAGAGAAGGCUGAGAGGAGACAUGAUAGCCAGGUACAAAUACGUGAAGGGAAGUCAUAGGGAAGAGGGAGGGAGCUUGUUUUCUGCUGCCCUGCAGACUAGGAUGCAAGGGAACAAUGGCUUCAAAGGACAGGAAAGGAGAUUCCACCUGAACAUCAGGAAGAACUUCCUCACGGUGAGAAGGGCUGUUCGGCAGUGGAACUCUCUGCCCCGGACUGUGGUGGAGGCUCCAUCUUUGGAGGCUUUGAAGCAGGGGCUGGAUGGCCAUCUGUCGGGGGUGUUUUGAAUGCGAUUUCCUGCUUCUUAGCGGGGGGUUGGACUGGAUGGCCCAUGAGGUCUCUUCCAACUCUACUAUUCUAUGAUUCUAUGAUUCUAUCUCAUCAGUGUUUCUCACCCAGCAAGGCAGGCUUUAUUCCCCGCUCAGUUUCUAAGACUGGGGCUGCCCAACCGCUUUUGGAAAGAGUUAUAAAGGAGGCGGGCAAAGCUGGUGCUUCACUCACUCUUGAAAAACCAAGUCCUCACGUGGCUCAUUGUCCUCCUUGCUCUCCAUCCUUCAAUGCCGCAAUGCCUGCUACCUCAGGGACGGUGAAAAGUGUUAUCUGGACAGAGAUGCCCUUAUUUCCAGAAUGAAUAUGCUCUCCAGAUUAGACCUUGAUCCAAAUGCCCUGGGUAUGUCUCCUUUGUCCAACCCUUCAGAGUCAUUGAAGUGUCGAGAUCUGACCUGAGUAUGGUAAAAAAUGGAGGAUCAUGAAGGUCCGGGAGGUGGGUGACUCAAGGGUGCUAGAGGAUCAUCUCAAGGAGCCCCACUAGCCCUUUAUUUAUUUACAGUAUUUAUAUUCCACCCUUCUUUCUCACCCCGAAGGGGACUCAGGGCAGAUCAUAUUAUACACACAUAGUGUCAGAGACAGAACGCCAGCAAGUGAAACAAAACUCAGUUUAUUGAGGUUAUAGAACUAAAAAACGCCCGUAGGAAACAAAGAACAGGGCAAACACUUGACUUCAGUGUGAUAAGUAACCAAAAAACAGCUCAGUUUGAGCUUAAACGGUUCAAAGGAAUAAACCGGAUUAAACAGAAGUAUAAUCCGGAUUAAAUCAAAGUGCUUACUUCAGCCUGGCAAACAAUGUAAACAAAAGAGGAUCAACAGGAGUCAGAAUGUAAACAACAGACUGGUGGCAGAUUCCUCUCUGCUACUCAGAAACAGCAGGAGAAUAAACCAGGCUUGUUUAUCCCUUCCUGCAGCGGACGAAAGCGUGGUCGUAGUCAGGAUUCAGUUUGAGGUUCAGCGGUCAACGAAAUCUAGGUCCAAGCACAGCGUUCAGGGUAACGGCAGUCAGCGGGGUCCCAAUCCGGUCCAGAGGUCUAUAGCCAAGAGUAGUCGUCCAGAAAUCCAAGAGUCUCACCGAUAGCCAGCAGAAGGGAUAAUCCGGAAUCGAAGUCAAUCAGUCCAGCGUCAAUCCAGUAAGUAGGUAUUGCCCGUCAAAAAGACAACGGAGGUCCAAGCUAUUGAGAUUAAACACAAGUUGCACAGAGAAAAACCCCG